rnacentral:rRNA from 1 species
GAGUUUGAUCAUGGCUCAGAUUGAACGCUGGCGGCAGGCCUAACACAUGCAAGUCGAGCGGUAGAGAGAAGCUUGCUUCUCUUGAGAGCGGCGGACGGGUGAGUAAUGCCUAGGAAUCUGCCUGGUAGUGGGGGAUAACGCUCGGAAACGGACGCUAAUACCGCAUACGUCCUACGGGAGAAGGCAGGGGACCUUCGGGCCUUGCGCUAUCAGAUGAGCCUAGGUCGGAUUAGCUAGUUGGUGAGGUAAUGGCUCACCAAGGCGACGAUCCGUAACUGGUCUGAGAGGAUGAUCAGUCACACUGGAACUGAGACACGGUCCAGACUCCUACGGGAGGCAGCAGUGGGGAAUAUUGGACAAUGGGCGAAAAGGCCUGAUCCAGCCAUGCCGCGUGUGUGAAGAAGGUCUUCGGAUGUAAAGCAC